rnacentral:rRNA from 1 species
UACGUAGGGUGCGGGCGUUAAUCGGAAUUACUGGGCGUAAAGCGUGCGCAGGCGGUUCUCCAAGUCCGUUGUGAAAGCCCCGGGCUCAACCUGGGAAUGGCAGUGGAAACUAGGGGACUGGAAUCUGGCAGAGGGGGGUGGAAUGCCGCGUGUAGCAGUGAAAUGCGUAGAGAUGCGGCGGAACACCGAUGGCGAAGGCAGCCCCCUGGGCUGAGAUUGACGCUCAGGCACGAAAGCGUGGGGAGCAAACAGG